rnacentral:rRNA from 1 species
CAGUCGCCACGGUAAUACGUAGGUGGCAAGCGUCGUCCGGAAUUAUUGGGCGUAAAGGGCUCGCAGGCGGUUUCUUAAGUUUGAUGUGAAAGCCCCCGGCUCAACCGGGGAGGGUCAUUGGAAACUGGGAAACUUGAGUGCAGAAGAGGAGAGUGGAAUUCCACGUGUAGCGGUGAAAUGCGUAGAGAUGUGGAGGAACACCAGUGGCGAAGGCGACUCUCUGGUCUGUAACCGACGCUGAGGAGCGAAAGCGUGGGGAGCGAACAGGAUUAGAUACCCGCGUAGUCCCUGUCUCUUAUAC